UGCCCCGCCUGGGGAGUACGGCUGCAAGGAUUAAACUCAAAGGAAUUUGACGGGGGCCCGCACAAGCGACGGAGCAUGCGGAUUAAUUCGAUGCCACGCGAAGAACCUUACCAAGGCUUGACAUAUACCGGAUCGUUCCCAGAGAUGGUUCUUCCCCUUUGGGGUCGGUAUACAGCAUGGUGCAUGGUUGUCGUCAGCUCGUGUCGUGAGAUGAUGGGUUAAGUCCUGCAACGAGCGCAACCAUCGUUGCAUGUUGUCAGCAGCGUGGUGGUGGGGACAUUAUGGGAGAACUGGCCGGGGUCUAAUCCGGAGGAAGGUGGGGAUGACGUCUAAUCAUCAUGCCCCUUAUGUCAUGGGCUUCAAGCAUGGUUCAUGUGGCCGGUAUCAAGGGGUUGCGAUACUGUGAGGUGGAGGUAUCUCCAUAAGCCGUUUCAGUUUGGAUUGAGGUGUGCAAAUUGACCUCAUGAAGUCGGAGUCGAUAGUUAUUGCAGAUUAGCAACGCUGCGGUGAUACGUUCCCGGGUCCUUGCACUCACCGCCCGU
rnacentral:rRNA from 1 species